rnacentral:misc_RNA from 1 species
AACUGAUACUACCUGCGGGAACCUGCGGAAGGAUCAUUACAGGACUCGCAAGACUCCUACAACCCUGUGAACCUACUAUACGAACGUUGCUUCGGCGGGUGCGCCCCGGGGAUUCGUUCCCGCGGCGCGUCAGCCCGCCGGCAGCCUACAAAUUCUGUUUCUUUGCGUUGGCAUCUCGAGAAAAACAAAUAAGUUAAAACUUUUAGCAACGGAUCUCU